AUGGGUGCACAGCACACAACACAAUACUAGUAAAGGUGGGGCUUUUCAUUUUCAAACCUUAUACACUACCUCGGAAUUCGGAAAAAGAAAGAACCUCUCUCUCUCUCUCUCUCUCACACACACACACACACUUCUCUGUAAUAUAAUGUCUCAUCUGCCUGCACUCUCUUCUUAUCACUCUCUUCUUAUCUCUGCUGUUUGUCUUCAGAUAAUAAAAACUCACUUUCCCAAUCCCAUGGCAUUUUUCAUACCCAUUUCCUCAACACGUGCUUUCUGGUCCAAAGGUUUGGAGAAAUUUGUGGUGGAUGGCACAAGGAAUCGAUCAUCUUGCUUAACACAUGAAAGAUUUUUUGUCGCUUGAAGGUAUUGGAGUUAUGGAUUGAUAUGCCUGAAGUUUGGAAUAGGGAAUGAAGCCAUUGGUCCUAGUAGUUUAAUUUAUAUGUAAUAUAUUAUUGAAUUAUUUGUACAUUGUUUGAUGUAGUCUGGAUCAAUCAUUUGUUGUACAUCAAUUUGCUAUAUAUAGUGGCCGCUUGAACUUUCCUACUUUAAAUGCUUAUAGUUUUUUUCUUUUAAUUUCAUUGUUUCCUUUGUUAGGUUUGCUAAGUAGAAGCACCAACUUCUGACCUCAUUUUUGCCUUCACCCUUGCAGCUAUAUGUUUCCAUACUAAGCAAUUUUCCAGCAUUCUCUGAUAUUUGUUUCUUCAUCACAUCAUGCAAAUGAUCCAUGAGUUGUUUCCA